rnacentral:rRNA from 1 species
AUUGAACGCUGGCGGCAUGCUUUACACAUGCAAGUCGAACGGCAGCGCGGGCUUCGGCCUGGCGGCGAGUGGCGAACGGGUGAGUAAUGCAUCGGAACGUGCCCAGUAGUUGGGGAUAGCCCGGCGAAAGCCGGAUUAAUACCGCAUACGACCUGAUGGUGAAAGCGGGGGACCGAAAGGCCUCGCGCUAUUGGAGCGGCCGAUGUCGGAUUAGCUAGUUGGUGGGGUAAAGGCUUACCAAGGCGACGAUCCGUAGCUGGUCUGAGAGGACGACCAGCCACACUGGGACUGAGACACGGCCCAGACUCCUACGGGAGGCAGCAGUGGGGAAUUUUGGACAAUGGGGGCAACCCUGAUCCAGCCAUGCCGCGUGCGGGAAGAAGGCCUUCGGGUUGUAAACCGCUUUUGUUCGGGAAGAAAUCCUCUGGGCUAAUACCCCGGGGGGAUGACGGUACCGGAAGAAUAAGCACCGGCUAACUACGUG